UAAGUAACACCUGCUCCAUGACUUUUUAAUAGCCGCGGAAAAUUAACCGUGCUAAGGUAGCAUAAUCAUUAGCCCCUUAAUUAGGGGCUCGUAUGAAAGGUGAAACAUUUUAAUUCCUAUAUUUUUUAAUUUUUUUUUAAUCUAAAUUAAGAAUAAAAAUGUUCUUAUGAAUAUAAUAGACGAUAAGACCCUUUUGAACUUUACUGAAGUUUAGCUGGGGCAGCUAAGAAAUCAUAAUUUUUCUAUUUAUUUUAUAAUAAGUGACCCAAUAAAUUUGAUUAUUUGAACAAGUUACCAUAGGGAUAACAGCGUAAUAUUCUUCUAAAGCUCUUAUUUUAAGGAAAGAUUGCGACCUCGAUGUUGAAUUAGUGUUACUUUAGGGCGCAGUUGCUAAUUAAGUAGGUCUGUUCGACCUUUAAAACACUACAUGAUCUG
rnacentral:rRNA from 1 species